rnacentral:rRNA from 1 species
AAUCAACGCUGGCGGCGUGCCUCAGACAUGCAAGUCGAACGAUUAAAGCUCUCUUCGGAGAGUGUAUAGAGUGGCGCACGGGUGAGUAACACGUAAGUAAUCUACCCUCGAGUGGGGAAUAACAACCGGAAACGGUUGCUAAUACCGCAUAAUGCAGCGGCACCGCAAGGUGACAGUUGUUAAAGAUUUAUCGCUUGAGGAGGAGCUUGCGGCAGAUUAGCUAGUUGGUAGGGUAACGGCUUACCAAGGCUACGAUCUGUAACCGGUCUAAGAGGACGGUCGGUCACACUGACACUGAAUAACGGGUCAGACUCCUACGGGAGGCAGCAGUCGGGAAUUUUGGGCAAUGGGGGAAACCCUGACCCAGCAACGCCGCGUGAAGGAUGAAGUAUUUCGGUAUGUAAACUUCGAAAGAAUAGGAAGAAUUAAUGACGGUACUAUUUAUAAGGUCCGGCUAACUACGUG